rnacentral:rRNA from 1 species
UGGCGGGCAGGCUUACACAUGCAAUGUCGAGGGGUAUUGGUUUUCGGACCAAGAGACCGGCGCACGGGUGCGUAACGCGUAUGCAAUCUACCUUUCACAGAGGGAUAGCCCAGAGAAAUUUGGAUUAAUACCUCAUAGUAUAAUUGAAUGGCAUCAUUUGAUUAUUAAAGUCACAACGGUGAAAGAUGAGCAUGCGUCCCAUUAGCUUGUUGGUAAGGUAACGGCUUACCAAGGCAACGAUGGGUAGGGGUCCUGAGAGGGAGAUCCCCCACACUGGUACUGAGACACGGACCAGACUCCUACGGGAGGCAGCAGUGAGGAAUAUUGGACAAUGGGCGCAAGCCUGAUCCAGCCAUGCCGCGUGCAGGAUGACGGUCCUAUGGAUUGUAAACUGCUUUUGUACAGGAAGAAACAGUUCUACGUGUAGAACCUUGACGGUACUGUAAGAAUAAGGAUCGGCUAACUCCGUGCCAGCAGCCGCGGUAAUACGGAGGAUCCAAGCGUUAUCCGGAAUCAUUGGGUUUACAGGGUCCGUAGGCGGCCUUAUAAGUCAGUGGUGAAAUCUCCCCGCUCAACGGGGAAACGGCCAUUGAUACUGUAGGGCUUGAAUUAUUAGGAAGUAACUAGAAUAUGUAGUGUAGCGGUGAAAUGCUUAGAGAUUACAUGGAAUACCAAUUGCGAAGGCAGGUUACUACUAAUU